rnacentral:rRNA from 1 species
UGGGGAAUAUUGCACAAUGGGCGCAAGCCUGAUGCAGCCAUGCCGCGUGUGUGAAGAAGGCCUUCGGGUUGUAAAGCACUUUCAGCGAGGAGGAAGGUGGUGAACUUAAUACGUUCAUCAAUUGACGUUACUCGCAGAAGAAGCACCGGCUAACUCCGUGCCAGCAGCCGCGGUAAUACGGAGGGUGCAAGCGUUAAUCGGAAUUACUGGGCGUAAAGCGCACGCAGGCGGUUUGUUAAGUCAGAUGUGAAAUCCCCGGGCUCAACCUGGGAACUGCAUUUGAAACUGGCAAGCUAGAGUCUCGUAGAGGGGGGCUAGAAUUCCAGGUGUAGCGGUGAAAUGCGUAGAGAUCUGGAGGAAUACCGGUGGCGAAGGCGGCCCCCUGGACGAAGACUGACGCUCAGGUGCGAAAGCGUGGGGCAGCAAACAGGAUUAGAUACCCUGG